GUGCCUUCUUAAGGUUUACAAAGUACUUUAAGAGGCUAACACAGAAGGGUAAAGGAAAGCUCCAUAAAACCCAGAGAAGAGAUUGUAAAACUCCUCUUUGGAUCCUGUCUGGAGUUACAACU
ensembl:snoRNA